AACGAACGCUGGCGGCAUGCCUAACACAUGCAAGUCGAACGAGACCUUCGGGUCUAGUGGCGCACGGGUGCGUAACGCGUGGGAACCUGCCCUUAGGUUCGGAAUAACUCCCCGAAAGGGGUGCUAAUACCGGAUAAUGUCUUCGGACCAAAGAUUUAUCGCCUUUGGAUGGGCCCGAGUUGGAUUAGCUAGUUGGUAGGGUAAAAGCCUACCAAGGCGACGAUCCAUAGCUGGUCUGAGAGGAUGAUUAGCCACACUGGGACUGGGACACGGCCCAGACUCCUACGGGAGGCAGCAGUGGGGAAUAUUGGACAAUGGGCGAAAGCCUGAUCCAGCAAUGCCGCGUGAGUGAUGAAGGCCUUAGGGUUGUAAAGCUCUUUUACCCGGGAUGAUAAUGACAGUACCGGGAGAAUAAGCUCCGGCUAACUCCGUG
rnacentral:rRNA from 1 species